rnacentral:rRNA from 1 species
ACAGUGGACGCGAGCAUCUUUGUAGUAACAACAAGCUACUAAGUGCGAUCGGUGGAUGCCUUGGCACCAAGAGCCGAUGAAGGACGUUGUAACCUGCGAUAAGCCAUGGGGAGCUGGUAAACGAGCUUUGAUCCUUGGAUCUCCGAAUAGGGAAACCUCGAAUUUCCGGAGUUAUGUCCGGCGACCUCUGCCUGAAUAUAUAGGGCAGUUGGAGGGAACGUGGGGAAGUGAAACAUCUCAGUACCCACAGGAAGAGAAAACAAUUGUGAUUCCGUUAGUAGUGGCGAGCGAACGCGGAAGAGGCCAAACCAUGUGUGUGUGAUAGCUGACAGGCGUUGCACAUGUGGUGUUGUGGGGCCGCUUGGAUCGGGCUGUCAUCCGGUCAGAGAGUAAGAAAUGAUCAGGGAAGUUGAAGUGCCUGGAAAGGUACAGCGUAGAAGGUAAUACUCCUGUAGACGUAAUUUGAUCACUCUCUAGCGUUACCCCAAGUAGCACGGAACCCCUGAAAUUCCGUGUGAAUCUGGCGGGACCAUCCGCUAAGCCUAAAUACUCCUUGGUGACCGAUAGCGGACAAGUACCGUGAGGGAAUGGUGAAAAGUACCCCGGGAGGGGAGUGAAAUAGUACCUGAAACCGAUCGCAUACAAUCCGUCGGAGCCUUCCUUUUGGGGGG